rnacentral:rRNA from 1 species
AGGUAAGCUACUAAGAGCGAAUGGUGGAUGCCUUGACUGGUAAAGGCGAUGAAGGACGUACUAGACUGCGAUAAGCUACGGGGAGCUGUCAAGAAGCUUUGAUCCGUAGAUUUCCGAAUGGGGCAACCCAAUGUAUAGAGAUAUACAUUACCUAUAUAGGAGCGAACGAGGGGAAUUGAAACAUCUUAGUACCCUCAGGAAAAGAAAUCAAUAGAGAUUGCGUCAGUAGCGGCGAGCGAAAGCGCAAGAGGGCAAACCCAGUGCUUGCACUGGGGGUUGUAGGACUGCAAUGUGCAAGAGGUAAGUUUAGCAGAACAUUCUGGAAAGUAUAACCAUAGAGGGUGAUAGUCCCGUAUGCGAAAAACAAACCUUAGCUAGCAGUAUCCUGAGUAGGGCGGGACACGAGGAAUCCUGUCUGAAUCCGGGUCGACCACGAUCCAACCCUAAAUACUAAUACCAGAUCGAUAGUGCACAAGUACCGUGAGGGAAAGGUGAAAAGAACUGAGGUGAUCAGAGUGAAAUAGAACCUGAAACCAUUUGCUUACAAUCAUUCAGAGCCCUAUGUAGCAAUACAGGGUGAUGGACUGCCUUUUGCAUAAUGAGCCUGCGAGUUGUGGUGUCUGGCAAGGUUAAGCAAACGCGAAGCCGUAGCGAAAGCGAGUCUGAAUAGGGCGCUUAGUCAGAUGCUGCAGACCCGAAACGAAGUGAUCUAUCCAUGAGCAAGUUGAAGCUAGUGUAAGAACUAGUGGAGGACUGAACCCAUAGGCGUUGAAAAGCCCCGGGAUGACUUGUGGAUAGGGGUGAAAGGCCAAUCAAACUUCGUGAUAGCUGGUUCUCUCCGAAAUAUAUUUAGGUAUAGCGUUGUGUCGUAAUAUAAGGGGGUAGAGCACUGAAUGGGCUAGGGCAUACACCAAUGUACCAAACCCUAUCAAACUCCGAAUACCUUAUAUGUAAUCACAGCAGUCAGGCGGCGAGUGAUAAAAUCCGUCGUCAAGAGGGAAACAACCCAGACUACCAGCUAAGGUCCCUAAAUCUUACUUAAGUGGAAAACGAUGUGAAGUUACUUAAACAACCAGGAGGUUGGCUUAGAAGCAGCCAUCCUUUAAAGAAAGCGUAAUAGCUCACUGGUCUAGUGAUUUUGCGCGGAAAAUAUAACGGGGCUAAAGUAAGUACCGAAGCUGUAGACUUAGUUUAC